rfam:Rattus norvegicus chromosome 9, whole genome shotgun sequence.
GGGGAUUUAGCUCAGUGGUAGAGUGCUUGCCUAUGAAGCGCAAGGCCCUGGGUUCGGUCCCCAGCUCCA